ensembl:lncRNA
GGGAGAGCUAUUAUGUACUGUACUCUGUACCAACUUCUGCAUACAAUUGUAUUACUAAAGGAGUAUUAUAAUACUUAAACAAAGAGUCUGUGUUUCCUUUCCAAUACUAAUGUAUGUUUGAUAAUUAUACAGACCUGAUCAUCUGUUGAAGAAAUUGACUAACAAACCUUUUUACAAUCUAUGCUACGGAUGAGUAACUGUGUCUAAGAGGGUGAAUUCAAGCAGGACCACCGGGUCACCACUCUCCAAGGAAUCGUGUGUCUAAACUACUUUCAUUCCCACACUGGAACCAUCUACACAGCUGAUUAGCCAUCCUCUGAAGAACCCUUUUCAGAGCAAGGACGAGGAAACAUUCCACUAAGAGUAAGGACACUGACAUCGUGAGGACAAACAGAGAGUUACACCUGGCAACCGAAGGUGUGCUGUCAUCGGAGAAGUCAGAACGCGGUCCACGAAGAGGCACCCCAUCAGAGACGUUCAAAACGGAACUGUUCUGUAGCUAUUGUCCGAGGGAACGUGUCGCUAUUCAACCCCUUGGUGUGGGCGCGGGAGUGGCUGCGACAGAGCAGAGGCUCCACCAGAUUGGUGCUGGUGGUCGUGUGUGUUGGGCUGCUACUGGAUAACAUGCUGCUUACUGUUGUCGUGCCCAUCAUCCCAAUGUUUUUAUAUGCCCUGGAUCCCCCUACACAGGACACCUUCAUCCAGCAUGCAGAGGCUCUCUGAGGAGGGCUUCACAUUGACCUCAGUCCACUCCUUCUACGACAACACUUCCU